rnacentral:lncRNA from 1 species
AUAGUUUGGGAUAAUUUAAUUAGGGAUGGGUGGAUUUGGGAUAAUUCGGGAUCAUUUGGAUUGAUUAGGGAUGGAUGGAAUUGGGAUAAUUUGGGAUAGUUUGGGAUAAUUUAAUUAGGGAUGGGUGGAUUUGGGAUAAUUCGGGAUCAGAGUGACUGACAAGGGACGGACGGAACCGGGACCGGUCUGGAAUGGAACCGGGACCAGAACCGGGACCGGUCUGGAAUGGAACCGGGACCAGAACCGGGAAUGGAACCGGGACCAGAACCGGGACCAGAACCGGGACCAGAACCGGGACCGGAACCGGGAACGGAACCGGGACCGGAACCGGGACCAGAACCGGGAACGGAACCGGGACCAGAACCGGGACCGGUCUGGAAUGGAACCGGGACCAGAACCGGGACCAGAACCGGGACCGGAACCGGGACUGGUCUGGAACAGAACCGGGUAUGGAACCGGGAAUGGAACCGGGACCGGUCUGGAAUGGAACCGGGACCAGAACUGGGAACAGAACCGGGACCAGAACCGGGACCGGAACCGGGACCAGAACCGGGAAUGGAACCGGGACCAGAACCGGGACCAGAACCGGGAACAGAACCGGGACCAGAACCGGGACCACUCCAGACCAGAACCGGGACCAGAACCGGGACCACUCCAGACCAGAACCGGGACCAGAACCGGGACCAGAACCGGAAUGGAACCGGGACCAGAACCGGGACCGGAACCGGGAAUGGAACCGGGAACGGAACCGGGACCGGUCCAGACCAGAACCGGGACCGGUCCAGACCAGAACCGGGACCAGAACCGGGACCCGGGGAAUGAGCCGAGCUCGGCCAGGACGGGCUGGGAGAAGCCGCUUUUAUUUAUUGUUUUAUUUAUGGAUUUCAGAGAUAUUUUUGAUACUUUUGUAGCGGUUUUUAUAAAGUUUUGUGUAUUUAUGGCGUCCCCCCGGCCCGGAAGCCGCCGGUCCCGGGGCGGGGCCGGUAAUUUAUUGACCGCCGGGAUAAUUUAUUGCGGAAAGUCCCAAUAAAGCGGAAUUUGGGCACA